AGCGAACGCUGGCGGCAGGCUUAACACAUGCAAGUCGAACGCAUCCUUCGGGGUGAGUGGCAGACGGGUGAGUAACACGUGGGAACGUACCUCUUUGUUCGGAAUAGCUUUUGGAAACGAAAGGUAAUACCGGAUACGCCCUUUUGGGAAAAGAUUUAUCGCAGAGAGAUCGGCCCGCGUCUGAUUAGCUAGUUGGUGAGGUAAUGGCUCACCAAGGCGACGAUCAGUAGCUGGUCUGAGAGGAUGAUCAGCCACACUGGGACUGAGACACGGCCCAGACUCCUACGGGAGGCAGCAGUGGGGAAUAUUGGACAAUGGGCGCAAGCCUGAUCCAGCCAUGCCGCGUGAGUGAUGAAGGCCUUAGGGUUGUAAAGCUCUUUUGUCCGGGAAGAUAAUGACUGUACCGGAAGGAUAAGCCCCGGCUAACUUCGUGCCAGCCGCCGCAGUAA
rnacentral:rRNA from 1 species